rnacentral:rRNA from 1 species
UGGGUAACCUGCCUCAAAGAGGGGAAUAGCCUCCCGAAAGGGAGAUUAAUACCGCAUAAUAUGUUUAGGUCGCAUGACUUUAACAUCAAAGGAUUUUCUCUUAGAAAUUCCACUUUGAGAUGGACCCGCGGCGCAUUAGCUAGUUGGUGAGGUAACGGCUCACCAAGGCAACGAUGCGUAGCCGACCUGAGAGGGUGAUCGGCCACAUUGGAACUGAGACACGGUCCAGACCUCGUACGGGAG